rnacentral:lncRNA from 1 species
GCUUUUAGCUGGGCUGAUUAGCGGGCUCACAGUGAUGAAAGUGCACUUUGCGAAAUACAACACCAACGAAGAAAUAGAAGAAAAACAGUUAAGACUAAGACUCAACUCACACAUCUUUUCCCCUCCCAACGCAAUCCUCAUUCUCCGUCACGCCUUCGCAACCCCACUGCCACCGCAUCAACUUUAGUCAACUCUUCUUCUAACUUCUAUUUCAAUACCUUCUCUUAUUCCUCUGUUAUUCUUAAAAUUCCAUUAUUAGCCCUCUCCGACCACCGUCCCCACCUCCUUCCACCGCCUCUCUUGUACCUCCAG